rnacentral:rRNA from 1 species
AUGGCCUCCUCCUCGCCGUCGCCGUCGCCGCCGGCGCAGGCGCGCGGCGGCCGCAACCCGCUGGAGGAGUGGAGCGGGCGCGUAAGGGCGCUGGAGGCGGGUUUCCGCGCGUGGAUGGCGAAGCAGCCCAUCCACGUCGAGGCGGCGGUGACCACGGCGGCGGGGGCGGUCCAGGGCGGGGCGCUCGGGGGCCUCAUGGGCUCCAUCACCGCCGACGGGGGAGCGCCGUGGGUGCCGCCGCUCCCUCCCAACGCCAACCCGCAGGCCAUGGCGUCCUUCAAGCAGGCGCAGGCUUUAGCUGCUGGACCGUUGGUGCAAGCGCGCAACUUUGCAGUUAUGUCUGGUACAAACGCAGGCAUAUCAUGUGUUAUGAGAAGGAUACGCGGAGUAGAUGACAUCCAGGGCAGCAUGACAGCCGCUUUUGGUUCUGGUGUUCUGUUCUCUCUAGUGAGUGGAAUGGGAACUCCUAAUCCGGUCGCAAAUGCCAUUACAUCUGGUGUUGGUUUUGCGGUAUUUCAGGGUGGCUUUUUCAUGAUUGGGCAGAGGUUCUCAAAGCCACAGGGUGUGAGUGAACAUAACUACUAUGCCAGGACAAGUAGCAUGUUACAAAAUCUGGGCCUCGAGAAAUAUGAGAAGAAUUUCAGGAAGGGUCUCCUUACUGAUCAUACCUUGCCCCUCCUUACUGACAGUGCUUUGAAAGAUGUGAAGAUCCCCCCUGGCCCCAGAUUGAUCAUACUUGACCAAAUUAAAAGGGAUCCUUGGCUGGCGAAAGCACAGUGA